rnacentral:rRNA from 1 species
AACGAACGCUGGCGGCAUGCCUAACACAUGCAAGUCGAACGAGACCUCCGGGUCUAGUGGCGCACGGGUGCGUAACGCGUGGGAAGCUGCCCUUAGGUUCGGAAUAACUCCCCGAAAGGGGUGCUAAUACCGGAUAAUGUCUUCGGACACAAGAUUCAUCGCCUUUGGAUGGGCCCGCGUUGGUUUAGCUAGUUGGUAGGGUAAAAGCCUACCAAGGCGACGCUCCAUAGCUGGUCUAAGAGGAUGAUCAGCCACACUGGGGCUGGGACACGGCCCAGACUCCUACGGGAGGCAGCAGUGGGGAAUAUUGGACAAUCGGCGAAAGCCUGAUCCAGCAAUGCCGCGUGAGUGAUGAAGGCCUUAGGGUUGUAAAGCUCUUUUACCCGGGAUGAUAAUGACAGUACCGGGAGAAUAAGCUCCGGCUAACUCCGUG